GUCCGAUUAGCUAGUUGGUGUGGUAAUGGCGCACCAAGGCGACGAUCGGUAGCGGGUCUGAGAGGAUGAUCCGCCACACUGGGACUGAGACACGGCCCAGACUCCUACGGGAGGCAGCAGUGGGGAAUAUUGGACAAUGGGCGAAAGCCUGAUCCAGCCAUGCCGCGUGUGUGAAGAAGGCCUUUUGGUUGUAAAGCACUUUAAGCGAGGAGGAGGCUACUUGGAUUAAUACUCUAAGAUAGUGGACGUUACUCGCAGAAUAAGCACCGGCUAACUCUGUGCCAGCAGCCGCGGUAAUACAGAGGGUGCGAGCGUUAAUCGGAUUUACUGGGCGUAAAGCGUGCGUAGGCGGCUUUUUAAGUCGGAUGUGAAAUCCCUGAGCUUAACUUAGGAAUUGCAUUCGAUACUGGGAAGCUAGAGUAUGGGAGAGGAUGGUAGAAUUCCAGGUGUAGCGGUGAAAUGCGUAGAGAUCUGGAGGAAUACCGAUGGCGAAGGCAGCCAUCUGGCCUAAUACUGACGCUGAGGUACGAAAGCAUGGGGAGCAAACAGGAUUAGAUA
rnacentral:rRNA from 1 species